GACGAACGCUGGCGGCGUGCCUAAUACAUGCAAGUAGAACGCUGAAGAGAGGAGCUUGCUCUUCUUGGAUGAGUUGCGAACGGGUGAGUAACGCGUAGGUAACCUGCCUUGUAGCGGGGGAUAACUAUUGGAAACGAUAGCUAAUACCGCAUAACAAUGGAUGACACAUGUCAUUUAUUUGAAAGGGGCAAUUGCUCCACUACAAGAUGGACCUGCGUUGUAUUAGCUAGUAGGUGAGGUAACGGCUCACCUAGGCGACGAUACAUAGCCGACCUGAGAGGGUGAUCGGCCACACUGGGACUGAGACACGGCCCAGACUCCUACGGGAGGCAGCAGUAGGGAAUCUUCGGCAAUGGGGGCAACCCUGACCGAGCAACGCCGCGUGAGUGAAGAAGGUUUUCGGAUCGUAAAGCUCUGUUGUAAGUCAAGAACGUGUGUGAGAGUGGAAAGUUCACACUGUGACGGUAGCUUACCAGAAAGGGACGGCUAACUACGUGCCAGCAGCCGCGGUAAUACGUAGGUCCCGAGCGUUGUCCGGAUUUAUUGGGCGUAAAGCGAGCGCAGGCGGUUUGAUAAGUCUGAAGUUAAAGGCUGUGGCUCAACCAUAGUUCGCUUUGGAAACUGUCAAACUUGAGUGCAGAAGGGGAGAGUGGAAUUCCAUGUGUAGCGGUGAAAUGCGUAGAUAUAUGGAGGAACACCGGUGGCGAAAGCGGCUCUCUGGUCUGUAACUGACGCUGAGGCUCGAAAGCGUGGGGAGCGAACAGGAUUAGAUACCCUGGUAGUCCACGCCGUAAACGAUGAGUGCUAGGUGUUGGAUCCUUUCCGGGAUUCAGUGCCGCAGCUAACGCAUUAAGCACUCCGCCUGGGGAGUACGACCGCAAGGUUGAAACUCAAAGGAAUUGACGGGGGCCCGCACAAGCGGUGGAGCAUGUGGUUUAAUUCGAAGCAACGCGAAGAACCUUACCAGGUCUUGACAUCCCGAUGCUAUUUCUAGAGAUAGAAAGUUACUUCGGUACAUCGGUGACAGGUGGUGCAUGGUUGUCGUCAGCUCGUGUCGUGAGAUGUUGGGUUAAGUCCCGCAACGAGCGCAACCCCUAUUGUUAGUUGCCAUCAUUCAGUUGGGCACUCUAGCGAGACUGCCGGUAAUAAACCGGAGGAAGGUGGGGAUGACGUCAAAUCAUCAUGCCCCUUAUGACCUGGGCUACACACGUGCUACAAUGGUUGGUACAACGAGUUGCGAGUCGGUGACGGCAAGCUAAUCUCUUAAAGCCAAUCUCAGUUCGGAUUGUAGGCUGCAACUCGCCUACAUGAAGUCGGAAUCGCUAGUAAUCGCGGAUCAGCACGCCGCGGUGAAUACGUUCCCGGGCCU
rnacentral:rRNA from 1 species